rnacentral:rRNA from 1 species
CUGCUGCCUUCCGUAGGAGUCUGGGCCGUGUCUCAGUCCCAAUGUGGCCGGCCAACCUCUCAGUCCGGCUACUGAUCGUCGCCUUGGUGGGCCGUUACCCCGCCAACCAGCUAAUCAGACGCGAGCUCAUCUCAGAGCGAUAAAUCUUUGGCGUCCAGAGAGAUGCCCUCCCAGACGCGUCAUGCGGUAUUAGCGGCUGUUUCCAGCCGUUAUUCCCCACUCCAAGGCAGAUUGCU